AAUAAAAUAAAUAUUAAAAAGUAUUAGUUUAAAUAAUAAAUAAUUAAGGUAAGGUUUUAUUCAAGUGGUGCAGUUACAUGCAUGCGGGGGUGGGUUUAUGGUAUUAACUGCACACUAGUUAUAUGUAGGCUGGAAAUUGGUAAAAAUGUUGUAAUAUUGGUUUCCAGAGCAACCUUACGGUUAUGAACUGUCGCGUUUUUUGUAUUUGAACACAAGUGAAUUUUAAGAAACUGUCACCUUCACAUUAUUUGUUUUAAAGAUUAUUAUCUUUACAUUAAAUUUUAAUAGAAGAAAUAAAUUUUAAUUGUAAAGAAACAAGCAGAGUUGAGGCAUUGCAAGAAUUUAAUAAAAUUUAUUGUCUUGCUAAAGAAUAAUAAAUAUUUGUACACGAAAAACCCGCGUUGAUGCGUACUUUUGUGUGCUGAGUUGUGCUUUCUAGCCCCGAUAUAGUUGGAUAUUGCGUUUGGAUAUUUGCGGAGUAAAUGCUCGAACAACUGUGGCUUUCAGAUUAUCAAAUGAAUUACUCAAUUACUUGAUUGUGUCAAACAGAAAUGAAAAGAGCAAGGUCUGAUGGGAAGCAACAGUAAAAAUUUAAGAAUAUCAAAUUUUAAAAUAGACAAUGAAUUUGAAAGCAUUGAAAUGAUAAGUGUUGGUAAUUACUUUAAAAGCAUAACGUACAUACGCUCGGUAUUAAGCUGCCAACAGGAUUGAAAGUACCAGCAAGUCUAAGGAACCAGAAGCAAUCUUUUAUCUAAAAAAUUUAAGGAAGUCUAAGGAUUUAAAAAAAAGGAAGAAGUCUAAGGUACUAGAAACGUUUAGAUUUCAAGAUGUGAAACAAGAGCCUAAUGUUGCUAUCCGAAAUUUCGUGAUCAAGCUGAGUAAAGGCAAUAUGAUGGUAAG